rnacentral:rRNA from 1 species
GGAGUUAGCCGGUGCUUCUUCUGUGAGUGAUGUCCUUCCUGCCGGCUAUUAACCCGCAGGCCUUCUUCCUCACUGAAAGUGCUUUACAACCCGAAGGCCUUCUUCACACACGCGGCAUGGCUGGAUCAGGGUUGCCCCCAUUGUCCAAUAUUCCCCACCUGCUGCCUCCCGUAGGAGUCUGGGCCGUGUCUCAGUCCCAGUGUGGCUGAUCAUCCUCUCAGACCAGCUACGGAUCGUCGCCUUGGUGAGCCGUUACCUCACCAACCAGCUAAUCCGACAUAGGCUCAUCCGAUAGCGCGAGGCCCGAAGGUCCCCCGCUUUCCCCCGUAGGGCGUAUGCGGUAUUAGCCUGGGUUUCCCCAGGUUAUCCCCCACUACCGGGCAGAUUCCUAUGCAUUACUCACCCGUCCGCCGCUCGCCACCAGGGAGCAAGCUCCCCGUGCUGCCGCUCGACUUGCAUGUGUUAGGCCUGCCGCCAGCGUUCAAUCUGAGCCAGAAUCGAACCCUGA